UACAGAGGUCUCAAGCGUUGUUCGGAUUCAUUGGGCGUAAAGGGUGCGUAGGCGGCGCGGUAAGUCGGGUGUGAAAUCUCGGAGCUUAACUUCGAAACUGCAUUCGAUACUGCCGUGCUUGAGGACUGGAGAGGAGACUGGAAUUUACGGUGUAGCGGUGAAAUGCGUAGAUAUCGUAAGGAAGACCAGUGGCGAAGGCGGGUCUCUGGACAGGUCCUGACGCUGAGGCACGAAGGCCAGGGGAGCAAACGGG
rnacentral:rRNA from 1 species